ACGCAGGAACUAGUUACAAUGUGGCUGUGUGGUGCCGUGUUGUCGUUCCCCCUGCUGAAAGCAAAACGUGUCUCUUUCUAUCCCUGUCCGCCUCGAUCUACUCCCGGCGGUCAGGGACGCUUGGCUUCACACAU